rnacentral:rRNA from 1 species
AGAGUUUGAUCCUGGCUCAGGACGAACGCUGGCGGCGUGCAUAACACAUGCAAGUCAAGGGGGCCAGCAAUGGCAACCGGCGAACGGGUGCGUAACACGUGAGCAAUCUGCCUCUAUGUGGGGCAUAGCCGGCCUAACGGCCGGGUAAUUCCGCAUACGAUCUUUUGGGGACAUCUCCAAUUGAUGAAACGCUUCGGCGGCAUAGAGAGGAGCUCGCGGCCUAUCAGCUAGUUGGUGAGGGUAACGGCCCACCAAGGCGACGACGGGUAGCUGGUCUGAGAGGAUGGCCAGCCACAUUGGGACUGAGAUACGGCCCAGACUCCUACGGGAGGCAGCAGUGGGGAAUCUUGCGCAAUGGUCUAACGACUGACGCAGCGACGCCGCGUGAGGGAUGAAGCUUUUCGGAGUGUAAACCUCUGUUGCUCGGGACGAAUAGCGGAUUAUUCCGACUUGACGGUACCGGGUGAGGAAGCACCGGCUAACUCCGUGCCAGCAGCCGCGGUAAUACGGGGGGUGCGAGCGUUGUCCGGAAUCACUGGGCGUAAAGGGCGCGUAGGUGGUCUUGUAAGUCUGUGGUGAAAGCCCGGGGCUCAACCCCGGGUCUGCCGUGGAUACUGUGAGACUUGAGUGCUGUAGAGGCAGGUAGAAUAUCGGGUGUAGCGGUGGAAUGCGUAGAGAUCCGAUAGAAGACCGGUGGCGAAGGCGGCCUGCUGGGCAGUAACUGACACUGAGGCGCGACAGCGUGGGGAGCAAACAGGAUUAGAUACCCUGGUAGUCCACGCCGUAAACGAUGGGUACUAUGUGCUUGGGGGAGCGACCCCCUGAGUGCCGGCGCUAACGCAGGAAGUACCCCGCCUGGGGAGUACGGCCGCAAGGCUGAAACUCAAAGGAAUUGACGGGGGCCCGCACAAGCGGUGGAGCAUGUGGUUUAAUUCGACGCAACGCGAAGAACCUUACCCAGGCUUGAC